rnacentral:snRNA from 1 species
AUCGCUUCUCGGCCUUUCAGCUAAGAUCAAGUGGAGUAGCUGUUCUUAUCGGUUUAAUAUCUGACACAUCCUCUAUCUGAGGACAAUAUACUAAACACAGUGAGACACCAACAUCAUAUGCUGUCACUCACAUGUGGAAUCUUAAAAAAGA